rnacentral:rRNA from 1 species
UACGGAGGGGGCUAGCGUUGUUCGGAAAUACUGGGCGUAAAGCGAACGUAGGCGGCUUGGCAAGUCAGGGGUGAAAUCCCAGUGCUCAACACUGGAACUGACCUUUGAAACUGCCAGGCUUGAAUCCUGGAGAGGCGAGUGGAAUUCCGAGUGUAGAGGUGAAAUUCGUAGAUAUUCGGAAGAACACCAGUGGCGAAGGCGACUCGCUGGACAGGUAUUGACGCUGAGGUUCGAAAGCGUGGGGAGCAAACAGGG